rnacentral:lncRNA from 1 species
GCUGAACCGAAAGGAAUUGAGACUAUAGAGUCGCGGAUUUCUAGAGCGACUAUGGAAAGGGGAAGCACUGAAAAGCCUCGUCUUUCGGCUUCCCAAUGGAGGAUCGCGGUGUGUGUUGCACUUUUUCCUGGGUCGAAGAAGCGGCAGCUGGAAGACCAAGGAAAUGCCAAAAAAAUCCCUUCUGGACGGCAGAGAAUCAGAAGCAGCUUUAAAAAGGAAAGCGAAUCCAACAAAGGGAAGGCCAAAAAACCCUCUUCUGGACAGCAGAGAAUCAGCAGCAGGUUUAAAAAGGGAAGCGAAUCCGGUACAUCUGGGAAACAACGUCUUUUCCCUUUUCUCCAGAUAACCACAAAAGUCUUCCCCUUCCCCAGCCAGGAAGAGACAGGAACAAAAAAAUAGGAGAAGAGUUUUGAGCUGAUAAACCAGUAUUUUAUGUGUAACUCAAGGAAACAUGAUAUAAAAAAAUAAAAGUGGAACAUUUCCAGAUUCAGAUAAGAAGGAAAUAUCUAGAAGUCUGUGUUACGGAAAUAAACGGCUUGAACCACCC